rnacentral:rRNA from 1 species
AACGAACGCUGGCGGCAUGCCUAACACAUGCAAGUCGAACGAAACCUUCGGGUCUUGUGUCGCCCGGGUGCGUAACGCGUGGGAACCUGCCCUUAGGUUCGGCAUAACUCCCCGACUGGGGUGCUAAUACCGGAUAAUGUCUUCGGACCAAAGAUUUAUCGCCUUUGGAUGGGCCCGCGUUGGAUUAGCUAGUUGUUAGGGUAAUAGCAUACCAAGGCGACGAUCGAUAGAUGGUUUGAGAGACAGAUCAGCGACACUGACAGUAGGACCCGGCCGGGAAUCCUACGCGAUGGAGGAGAGAGGAAUGGAGAACAAUGGGGGAAAGCAUGAACCAGCAAGGACGCGAAAGUGAUGAAAGCAGUAAAGAAGUAAAGCGCUAUUAACCGUGAAGAUAAUGACAGUACCGGAAGAAUAAGCUACGGCUAACUCCGUG